GAAUCACCUUAUGGGGCAAGAGUUGCUUCAGUGGGGCUUUGGUGUUCACUGAGUCUGCCCCCUGAGUGUGUGCCU
rnacentral:pre_miRNA from 1 species